GGGGGUUUAGCUCAGCGGCAUAAGCGCCUGCCUUGAAAGCAGGCAGUCGUGAGUUCGAUCCCUGCCUCCGCUA
rnacentral:tRNA from 1 species